CUAAUCUAUCUUAUUUCUUAUGGUAACAUUUAAUCAAAUUUAGUAGACAUGUCUUUUUUCUGUAUAGACUAUUUAACAAUUUAGUAGACAUGUAUAGAUAUAUGUGGGUGUGGAUCUCGAUAACUUGGAAGAGGGCGGGCAGAGGCCGAUCUAGAUCCUCCAUGUCCCUUACUAGAUCCGUCCCAGAGACAAUGCCCUUUCACGUAACUUGAAUAGUAUUUAAGUAGCAAACACAUGACUAAAACAAUAAUAAAAAAAUACCCAAUGAAGUGGAUUCAUUAUUUUAGGGACAAUUUUGACUGUCCAAAAAAACAAAUAUAGAUACUUUGAAGGCCAUUUAUGGACUCUGUUCAAAUGUGUUCAUACCAUAUCUGGUCUUCCAUAUCCUUCUUUUCUGGUAGUCAGUUGCAAUAAAAAAAAAUGGCACUCAUGCAAGACUCCCUCAGUUGUCACCUUGUGUGUCCAGCACAUGACUAGAUUCUUGACAGAUCUGGAGACUACUCUUCUAUAAGUGUUACUCUUCAGUACUUGGAAUACAUAUCAUUACAUCAAUGUCUUCUUCAAUCCACAGUAGUCUAAUUAUCUUGUUCUUCGUGUUUACCAUUUUUUCGGUUUCAAAUGCUGCUGAAGUCGAAAAAACACAGCCCACUGCCCUUAUUUUUCCGGUAAGGAAAUACACGGAAGCACUCCAGUCUGGAGUAUAUCCGUGUAAUUCCUGUAUCCAGUACUACACUACUUUAAACAUUUCCAAACAAGACAACAAUAUAAACCUGGCGAUGGAUCUUGGUGGCCAACACACCUGGUUCAAUUGUGAUGACUUCGAUUUACCAACCUAUAAGCCCAUCAGUUGCAACACUGAAAAAUGUAGAAAGUAUAAGGGCUAUGAUUGCAUGAACUGCGCUCUUCUGAUCCCUGUCCCACCACGCUGCAUUAACAAUGGAUGUGCUGUCACGUAUGCCAAUCAGUUCGCUGCUCAAGAUAUUAAUAACAGCUUAGCAGAGGAUGCCUUAUUUGUCGAGUCUACAAAUGAUGUAUCAGUUGGAUUAACCUACAAGUCCCCUGAACCGUUUCCAUUUUCAUGUUCCGAUCUCUUGGAUAAUCUAGCCAGUGGUACCAAAGGUAUGAUAGGCCUCGUAAAUACAACUACGUCCUUGCCUGCACAUAUGUCAAGCCAGUUCAAUUUACCUCAUAAAUUUGCUCUUUGUUUGCCCUCUAGUCCUAUACACGGCCACAUGUUUGUAGGCGGAGGGCCAUACAUAUUUCCACCAUACUAUAAAAACAUUGCUAAGAAAUUGAUCACCACAAAACUUGUCAGUUACCCUGUUGACACUGACAAAAUUUACAUUAUAACUGACCCUUACGACGAAUAUUUUGUAGAUAUUAAAUCUAUUAAUAUCGAUCAGAAAAUUGUCCCUCUUAAUGCUUCUUUACUACCCAUCAACAAAGAUGGCUUCGGGGGUACUACAUUUAGCACCCUAUCUCCUUUCACAAGUUUACAGACUUCCCUCUAUACGGUUUUCGUUACUGCUUUUACUGAGGCUGCAGCUCACAGGAAGAUGAAAGAGUAGACGGACCCUUGGAAAUGUGUUUCAAUGCCACAGACAUACCUAAAAGCAAGACAGGACUUGCAGUGCCACAUAUCGAUAUUGGUUUUGCAGGGGGCAAGAAUGAGUGCAGACUUUACGGAGCCAACUCGAUGCUAUCAGUGAAUGAAGAGGUAUUAUGCCUGGCAUUUGUGGAUGGAGGGAAAUUUCCAAGAACUUCAGUUGUCAUAGGAGCGCAUCAACUAGAGAAUUAUCUUAUCUAGUUCGAUCUUGUUUCUUCCAAGGUAGGGACUAGCUCUUCACUUUUAACUCGAAAUGCAACAUGCAGCCAGUCUAGAGUCCUGUAAAUUUACUAGAAGUAGGUUCUGGUUGGACUCAAAUAUUGAACAUUGUUUCACUGGGAUUAAUAUUGCUCUGUAUGGAGGAGUUUUAUAAGACUGUUUAAUUAGACAUUGCUGAUCGAUGGUUAGUAUUAGUUUGGUACAGUUUAAAGAUUAAUGUUAUUGUAUCUUUGUUUGGUGGAAUGGACUCAAAAUUUGGGUUUGGGAAUUAGACAUUGUAAGAGCAAGUCCAUUGGAUAUUUAUAUUUAGGGCCGGUUUAGUUGGGGGUUUACGGGCCCGGUAAAUAGGAAUGGGCUUCUCAUUCCAUAACAACAUGUUUGGAUUAGAUUUUUUACAAACGGGAAUGGUAACCCGCAUACUUACAGCCGGUUAACACAAACCCUACAGGUACCUAGGUUACUGGAAAUCCAUACCCGACAAACCUCACACUUCAGCAGAUCGUCUCUCCCACUCGAUGGCUCUCAUAUCCUCCCCUUUACUUCAUCCUCGUCAAUCUCUCCCCCUCUCUCCCUGACUCUCUCGCCCUCCGUCUCUUUAGAUAUCGCGCGUGUCUCUCUCUAUGAAUCUAUCCCCCUCUCUCUGUCUCACUCUCUUCCAAUCUCUCUCCCCAUCUCUCUCAGCCAUAUAACUCUGUCAUCACGACUCUUUUGAAGACCCUUGGACACUGCUACGGUUCGGCUUCAAAUCCAAGAGAAAGAUCUUACAGCAAUAUCUCAAUUUGAAUUCUUCACCUUCCCAACUUGAAACAAUUAAGAAGAAUCAGGACACGGAGUUGCCUCUCACGAGGGAUAAUCUGAAAGCGAUUAUGUAGGAUAUGUUUGCAGCAGUAACCGAUACAACAUUCAUAACCUUAGAUUGGGGGAUGACAGUACUUAUAAUUAACCCCCGAGUUAUGCAGAAGGCACAAGCUGAAGUACGAAAAGUUGUUGGAAAAAGAAGAGUUGUCUUAGAGAGUGAUCUACACCUGACUUGCAUUACAUGAAAGCUAUUAUUAAGGAGAUAUUCCGACUACAUCCUGUGCCAGUACUUGUCCCAAGAGAAUCAAUGGAUGAUGUGAAAAUUGAUGGAUAUGACAUUCCUGCAAAAACCCGAUUUUAUGUUAAUGCCUGGGCUAUAGGAAGGGACCUUAUAUCCUGGAAAGAUACGGAAAGCUUUGAGCCAGAGAGGUUUAUAAGAAGCAGUACUGACUUCAGGGGGCAAGAUUUUGAGUUGCUGCCUUUCGGUGCUGGUAGAAGAGGUUGUCCGGCUAUUGUUUUUGGAACAGCAGUUAUUGAACUUGCUCUGGCUCAACUUCUUCACAGUUUUGAUUGGGAGCUUCCCGCAGGGAUCCAAGCUAACGAUCUUGAUAUGACAAAACUUUUCGGCAUCUCAAUGCACAGAGUAGCUCAUCUGGUCGUGGUUGCCAAACCACACUUUGCAUAGGUUCUAGCAGCAUUGCUGGUCCUUUUACGUCUCAACUUGUUGUUCAACUUGGUUUUCUGAAGAUAAGCUAGCAAUACAGUAACUAUGAAAGGUUGUUUGCCAGUUUCCAUCAUAGAAUGGAAAAACCGAACCAAUGCAUGGAACUGAGAAUAAAGUUGUAAAUCCCAAGUUUUGAUGAUGACACACUUUAGCAAGCUACUAUUAUUUCAGCUUAACAUAAUGUAUUUGACCUGUUACAGCCUGCUAUAUUGAGUAGUUAAUCUAAUCCUGCAGGUUUUAUAAGUAACAGAGAUAUAGGAAGCUAUUUUUCUAUUUUAGCUUGACAUGAUUAAGUUAUACUAUUAUA